rnacentral:rRNA from 1 species
AGCAGCCGCGGUAAUUCCAGCUCCAAUAGCGUAUAUUAAAGUUGUUGCGGUUAAAAAGCUCGUAGUUGAAUUUCGGGAUCAAUUUAUCGGUCGUGCCAAUGGUAUGAACUGGUACAAUUGGUCUCUCCCUUCUGAAGAACCAUGAUGUCAUUAAUUUGGUGUUGUGGGGAAUCAGGACUGUUACUUUGAAAAAAUUAGAGUGUUUAAAGCAGGCUUAGGCUUGAAUACAUUAGCAUGGAAUAAUGAAAUAGGACGCUUUGAUCCUAUUUCGUUGGUUUCUAGGAUCGACGUAAUGAUUAAUAGGGAUAGUUGGGGGCAUUAGUAUUCAAUUGUCAGAGGUGAAAUUCUUGGAUUUAUUGAAGACUAACUACUGCGAAAGCAUUUGCCAAGGAUGUUUUCAUUAAUCAAGAACGAAAGUUAGGGGAUCGAAGACGAUCAGAUACCGUCGUAGUCUUAACCAUAAACUAUGCCGACUAGGGAUCGGAUGAUGUUAAUUUUUAAAUGACUCA